GAUGAACGCUAGCUACAGGCUUAACACAUGCAAGUCGAGGGGUAACGAGAGGAAAGCUUGCUUUCCUUGUCGACGACCGGCGCACGGGUGAGUAACGCGUAUCCAACCUGCCCCCAACUAGGGAAUAACCUUGCGAAAGUAAGACUAAUACCCUAUAAUUUCCUCAGAUGCCAUCUGACGAGGAAUAAAGAUUUAUCGGUUGUGGAUGGGGAUGCGUCUGAUUAGCUUGUUGGCGGGGUAACGGCCCACCAAGGCAACGAUCAGUAGGGGUUCUGAGAGGAAGGUCCCCCACAGUGGGACUGAGACACGGUCCAAACUCCUACGGGAGGCAGCAGUGAGGAAUAUUGGUCAAUGGGCGGAAGCCUGAACCAGCCAAGUAGCGUGCAGGAUGACGGCCCUAUGGGUUGUAAACUGCUUUUAUACAGGAAUAAAGUUAGCCACGUGUGGUUAUUUGUAGGUACUGUAUGAAUAAGGACCGGCUAAUUCCGUGCCAGCAGCCGCAGUAA
rnacentral:rRNA from 1 species